rnacentral:rRNA from 1 species
CAAAUCAGGUAGGAUUACCCGCUGAACUUAAGCAUAUCAAUAAGCGGAGGAAAAGAAACUAACAAGGAUUCCCCUAGUAACUGCGAGUGAAGCGGGAAAAGCUCAAAUUUAAAAUCUGGUAGUCUUUGGCUGCCCGAGUUGUAAUCUAGAGAAGCGUUAUCCGCGCUGGACCGUGUAUAAGUCUCCUGGAAUGGAGCGUCAUAGAGGGUGAGAAUCCCGUCUUUGACACGGACUACCAGGGCUUUGUGAUGCGCUCUCAAAGAGUCGAGUUGUUUGGGAAUGCAGCUCUAAAUGGGUGGUAAAUUCCAUCUAAAGCUAAAUAUUGGCGAGAGACCGAUAGCGAACAAGUACCGUGAGGGAAAGAUGAAAAGAACUUUGGAAAGAGAGUUAAACAGUACGUGAAAUUGUUGAAAGGGAAACGCUUGAAGUCAGUCGCGUUGGCUAGGAAUCAGCCUUGCUUUUGCUUGGUGUAUUUCCUGGUUGACGGGUCAGCAUCAAUUUUGACCGGUGGAAAAAGGCCAGAGGAAUGUGGCAUCUUCGGAUGUGUUAUAGCUUCUGGUUGUAUACAUCGGUUGGGAUUGAGGAACUCAGCACGCCGCAAGGUCGGGGUUCGCCCACGUUCGUGCUUAGGAUGCUGGCAUAAUGGCUUUAAUCGACCCGUCUUGAAACACGGACCAAGGAGUCUAACAUGCCUGCGAGUGUUUGGGUGGAAAACCCGAGCGCGUAAUGAAAGUGAAAGUUGAGAUCCCUGUCGUGGGGAGCAUCGACGCCCGGACCAGACCUUCUGUGACGGCUCCGCGGUAGAGCAUGUAUGUUGGGACCCGAAAGAUGGUGAACUAUGCCUGAAUAGGGUGAAGCCAGAGGAAACUCUGGUGGAGGCUCGUAGCGAUUCUGACGUGCAAAUCGAUCGUCAAAUUUGGGUAUAGGGGCGAAAGACUAAUCGAACCAUCUAGUAGCUGGUUCCUGCCGAAGUUUCCC